UACGUAGGGGGCAAGCGUUAUCCGGAUUUACUGGGUGUAAAGGGAGCGUAGGCGGCAAGGUAAGCCAGAAGUGAAAGCCCGCGGCUCAACUGCGGGACUGCUUUUGGAACUAUCUAGCUAGAUUGCAGGAGAGGUAAGUGGAAUUCCUAGUGUAGCGGUGAAAUGCGUAGAUAUUAGGAGGAACACCAGUGGCGAAGGCGGCUUACUGGACUGUAAAUGACGCUGAGGCUCGAAAGCGUGGGGAGCAA
rnacentral:rRNA from 1 species